AAUGAACGUUGGCGGCGUGGAUUAGGCAUGCAAGUCGCGCGGACCAGCAAUGGUUAGCGGCGAAAGGGAGAGUAACGCGUGGGUUAUCUGCCUCUUGGGCCAGGAUAGCCGCGGGAAACUGCAGGUAAUACUGGAUAAUGUCUUCGGACCAAAGGUGUGAUUCCGCCGGGAGAUGAGCCCGCGUCCUAUUAGCUAGUUGGUGAGGUAAUGGCUCACCAAGGCGUAGAUGGGUAGGGGGUGUGAGAGCACGACCCCCCUCACUGGGACUGAGACACUGCCCAGACACCUACGGGUGGCUGCAGUCGAGGAUCUUCGGCAAUGGGCAAAAGCCUGACCGAGCGACGCCGCGUGUGGGAUGAAGGCCUUCGGGUUGUAAACCACUGUCGUAGAGGAGGAAAUUCUGGGGGGUUCUCCCCUCAGUUUGACCUAUUCUAGGAGGAAGUCAGGGCUAAGUUCGUGCCAGCCGCCGCCGUAA
rnacentral:rRNA from 1 species